UGACUCUGGUGUAGUCUCAUGUGACUU
rnacentral:piRNA from 1 species